rnacentral:rRNA from 1 species
CCCUCUUCUUCCCUCUUUUUUCUUAAUUCUUUUUCUUAAAGAGCCCUUAGGCGGCCUUGCAAGUCAGUUGUGAAAGCCUUCCGCUUAACGGAAGAACGGCAUCUGAUACUACAGGGCUUGAGUACGGGAGGGGAGAGUGGAACUUCUGGUGGAGCGGUGAAAUGCGUAGAUAUCAGAAGGAACGCCGGCGGCGAAAGCGACUCUCUGGUCCGAAACUGACGCUGAGUGUGCGAAAGCUAGGGGAGCAAACGG